rnacentral:rRNA from 1 species
GACAGAGGGUGCAAACGUUGUUCGGAAUUACUGGGCGUAAAGCGCACGCAGGUGGCUGAGUCAGUCGAUUGUGAAAGCCCUGGGCUUAACCUGGGAAUUGCAGUCGAUACUACUCAGCUAGAGUAUGGGAGAGGGUAGUGGAAUUCCCGGUGUAGCGGUGAAAUGCGUAGAUAUCGGGAGGAACAUCAGUGGCGAAGGCGGCUACCUGGCCCAAUACUGACACUCAGGUGCGACAGCGUGGGGAGCAAACAGG